GAGGGGUUCCACACGUACCCAUCCCGAACACGACCGUUAAGCCCUCCAGCGCCGAUGGUACUUGGACCGCAGGGUCCUGGGAGAGUAGGACGCCGCCAAGC
rnacentral:rRNA from 1 species